rnacentral:miRNA from 10 species
AUAAAGCUAUGCUACCGGAGGCU